GUGUUUGUAGUCCAAUGGUUAGGCUAAUUGCUUUCCAAGCAAUAGUCCCGGGUUGAACUCCCGAAAAACGCA
rnacentral:tRNA from 1 species